UCCUGGGAUCGAGCCCUGGGUCAGCCUCCUUGCUCAGCCGGGAGUCGGCUUCUCCCUCUCACUGGGCCCGCUGCUCCCCCUGCUUGUGCUCUGUCUCUAUCAAAUAAAAUCUUUUUAAAUUUUUUAAAUAAACUUCUUUUUAAAUAAAAUUAAUACAAUAUAACACAAUAAGACCCUGAGUAAGUCUUAGUGUUUUCCUCUUGUGAGUGACCCAGAGGUCUAUGAUAAGCAGUCACGUGUGACUUUUCAGAGAACCGUGUAGAACCUUCACCUGAUCUAGGGGUCGGGCCCUGCAGUUUUGCUGUUGUCCCAACAUCACUGAAUACUCAGCAAUGCUCCAGAAACCAUAGGAAGUAAUGCAACUGUUUGGAAGAGGGUCAUGAGGUAAGAAUAGGUGGUUAACUUACAGAAUGAGAAUAAGCACAACAGCUCUGGACUGAGAUUUCUUUAAAAGAUUUAUUUAUUUUUGUGUUAGAGAGCGCAAGCAUGUGGAGGGGGAGGGGCAGAGGGAGAAGCAGACUCCCCCAUGAGCAGGGAGCCGGACAGAGGACUCGAUCCCAGGAGCCCAGGAUCAUGACCUGAGCAGAAGGCAGUUAACUGAGCCACCCAGGCACCCUGAGAAUUCUUUUUAAGGAGCAACAUAGGAACCGAAGAAACAUUCCCAUGUUCCAGGGUUGCUCGACUUCCACACUGUCGACUUUUUGGUCCAGAAGAGUCUUUGUCAUGGAGGGCUGCCCUGCACACGGUCUACCCACCGGACGGUCACAAGCACCUCCACUCGGUUGUGACCAUCGUGAUGUCUCUAGAACUACUGCCAUGUUGGAACAUUUGGAGAUUCUAGAAGCUCGAGGGAAGUAUCUCCCCGGGAGACCACGCAGCUGCUGCGGACCCCGCCCAGGAGCCGCUUGGGACUCCGGUUCCUGUUCGGUGUGUUCCCUCGUCCAGACCAGAAGCCGAAUCCUGCUACCACGCGGCACAGCGGCCGGCGUGCAGGAGAGCGGCUCGGAGGACCAGAAGCCCACGAACAAGAGCCCCGUAACUUGGUCUGGAGCCGCAGUGCGUGCUUGCAGGGAACCCUUCCAGAAAACUGGAAGCUCCAGGGCGGUCUGCCCGGAGCGAGACCGAGGGCGAAACCCCAGGGCUCACAUCCUGCCCGACAGAGCGCUUCACCUAAAACCCGGCUCCCCACCCAGCGCUGAGGACGGGAAGGGGAUGGAGCAC
rnacentral:lncRNA from 1 species